GUGUCAGCCGCCGCGGUAAUACGGAGGGUGCGAGCGUUAAUCGGAAUUACUGGGCGUAAAGCGCGCGUAGGUGGCUUGUCACGCCGGUUGUGAAAGCCCCGGGCUCAACCUGGGAACUGCAUCCGGAACGGCCAGGCUAGAGUGCAGGAGAGGAAGGUAGAAUUCCCGGUGUAGCGGUGAAAUGCGUAGAGAUCGGGAGGAAUACCAGUGGCGAAGGCGGCCUUCUGGCCUGACACUGACACUGAGGUGCGAAAGCGUGGGUAGCAAACAGGAUUAGAAACCCCCGUAGUCC
rnacentral:rRNA from 1 species